AAAUUUGAUCGUGAGAAAGCAACUCUUAUGUAGGCAGAUAUGCUUUAGUGGAGACAGGAAUUUGGAGCAGAUACAAUUUUGGAUAUAUACAAUGGUAGGUGUUUUGUCCUAGUCUCAAGCCGACAAUCCUUUUUGAUCAGUAUAUCUAGUAGAAGUAAGCAUGCAGAUUGUUGUCUUCGAGGUCGACUAGCUAUUUUGUGCUUUUUUUUGUUUUAAAUUCGAAUGUCACUAUCUACUUUGAAACAGAACUAUUUAGUCUUUGUGUA